AACAGCGAGUGAAGCGGGAAGAGCUCAAAUUUGAAAUCUUCAAGGUUUUACCUUGACGAAUUGUAGUUUAAAGAAGUGUUUUCUGUUGAAGUUUUGGUAAAAGUUCUUUGGAAUAGGACAUCAUAGAGGGUGAGAAUCCCGUAUUUGACCAUUAUUUUCAGCUGUGUGAUACACUUUCAAAGAGUCGGAUUGUUUGGGAAUGCAGUCCAAAAUGGGUGGUAAAUUUCAUCUAAAGCUAAAUAUUGGCGAGAGACCGAUAGCGAACAAGUACCGUGAGGGAAAGAUGAAAAGAACUUUGAAAAGAGAGUUAAACAGUACGUGAAAUUGUCAAAAGGGAAGCGUUUGACACCAGUGUUGUUUUCUCGAAAAUCAAUUAAAAAGAGUUGGAUUUUGUGUUGUAUUGACCUUAACAGCUUUCUGCACUCUUUUCCUGCUUUUUUUAAUGCACUUUUCGUUUAACAAGUCAACAUCAGUUUCUUUUGUUGUAAAAGGGUCAUUGGAAGGUGGCUUUCUUUUCGGAGAAAGUGUUUAUAGCCUUUGAUCUCUGCAAUCGGAGAGACUGAGGUCUGCAGCGUAGAUCCUUCGGGGUUAGAUACAUUUGUGCUAAGUUAUAACUUUUCAUAGACAACUUGUUGACUAUGUUUAGUCAUGUAGCUUACUCGCUUAUGCUAUUUUACCUAC
rnacentral:rRNA from 1 species